rnacentral:misc_RNA from 1 species
UUAAGUUCAGCGGGUAUCCCUACCUUAUCCGAGGUCAACCUAAGAUGUGCGCGCAAAGGCGCGGGUUUGACAGCCGCCUGAGGCCGGUGCCUGGCGAGUUAAUUUCUACUACGCUAGAACGCCGUUCUCUCAGCCGCUGAUAACUUUGAGGCCCGCCCGCGUGGGGACAGAGGCCCAAUACCAAGCAGAGCUUGACGGUU